AAGUCGUAACAAGGUUUCCGUAGGUGAACCUGCGGAAGGAUCAUUAAUACGCUUUUGUUUGUAACAAAACAAAACGUUUUAAACCCCAAAAAUUGAAAUAGUGGAAACAUAACUUCCGGAUGCGAAUGUUGGAGAACUUGAGUAAAAUCGGUUCUUUGAGAAAAGGGACUUCAAGCAAUUGACACUUCAGAGUAGAGCAGUGAGGUGAAACUCGAAAGAGUUUGGUUCUGAAAAACAUUUGUAUCCGGUUAUCAAAUCUGUUCUAACAAAAUAUCAAACAAUAAUAAACCCCAUGUACAACAACUUGAACUAAACAUUUUUUUGUUGUCUGCCUCGCGGCAGAUACGCAAAGAAAAAACCUGAACUUAAGAACAACUCUUAACAACGGAUAUCUUGGUUCUC
rnacentral:misc_RNA from 1 species